rnacentral:rRNA from 1 species
CACGUAGGGGGCGAGCGUUGUCCGGAUUUAUUGGGCGUAAAGAGCUCGUAGGCGGCUCGGUAAGUCGGGUGUGAAACCUCCAGGCUCAACCUGGAGACGCCACUCGAUACUGCCGUGGCUAGAGUCCGGUAGAGGAGCGUAGAAUUCCUGGUGUAGCGGUGAAAUGCGCAGAUAUCAGGAGGAAUACCAGCGGCGAAGGCGGCGCGCUGGGCCGGUACUGACGCUGAGGAGCGAAAGCGUGGGGAGCAAACAGG